CAUGAUUCGCCAAGCUUGCCCUGCCUGCAGGUCGACUCUAGAGGAUCCAGAGUUUGAUCCUGGCUCACAUUGAACGCUGGCGGCACGCUUUACACAUGCAAGUCGAGCGGCAGCAUGGGGCUUCGGUCCCGAUGGCGAGCGGCGGACGGGUGGGUAAUGCAUGGGAAUGCGCCCAGUAGUGGGGGACAACCCUGGGAAACCAGGGCUAAUACCGCAUGUUUUCUACGGAACAAAGCGGAGGAUUUCUUCGGAAACUUCGCGCUAUUGGAGCAGCCCAUGUCUGAUUAGCUAGUUGGCGGGGUAACAGCCCACCGAGGCGACGAUCGGUAGCUGGUCUGAGAGGAUGAUCAGCCACACCGGGACUGAGACACGGCCCGGACUCCUACGGGAGGCAGCAGUGGGGAAUAUUGGACAAUGGGGGCAACCCUGAUCCAGCGAUGCCGCGUGAGUGAAGAAGGCCUUCGGGUUGUAAAGCUCUUUCGCGAGGGAAGAAACGGCAGGGAAUAAUACGCCCGCGCCACUGACGGUACCUUGAGAAGAAGCACCGGCUAACUUCGUGCCAGCGGCCGCGGUAAUACGGGGGGUGCAAGCGUUAAUCGGAAUUACUGGGCGUAAAGCGUGCGUAGGCGGCUCUUCAAGUCAGAUGUGAAAGCCCGGGGCUCAACCUCGGAACUGCGUUUGAAACUGGAGGGCUAGAGUUCGGCAGAGAAGGUGGAAUUCCGCGUGUAGCGGUGAAAUGCGUAGAGAUGCGGAAGAACACUAAUGGCGAAGCAUCCUUCUGGGCCGAUACUGACGCUGAAU
rnacentral:rRNA from 1 species